GUGCCAGCCGCGCGGUAAUACCGGCAGCCCUAGUGCUGGCCGAUCUUAUUGGGCCUAAAGCGUCCGUAGCUGGCCGCGCAAGUCCAUCGGGAAAUCCACCUGCUCAACAGGUGGGCGUCCGACGGAAACUGCACAGCUUGGGACCGGAAGGCUCGAAGGGUACGUUCGGGGUAGGAGUGAAAUCCCAUAAUCCCGCACGGACCACCGAUGGCGAAAGCACUUCGAGAAAACGGAUCCGACAGUGAGGGACGAAAGCCAGGGUCUCCAACCGGAUUAGAAACCCGAGUAGUCC
rnacentral:rRNA from 1 species